GAAAUGCGAUAAGUAGUGUGAAUUGCAGAAUUCAGUGAAUCAUCGAAUCUUUGAACGCACAUUGCGCCCCUUGGUAUUCCAUGGGGCAUGUCUGUUCGAGCGUCAUCUACACCCUCAAGCUCUGCUUGGUGUUGGGCGUCUGUCCCCGCCUCCGCGCGCGGACUCGCCCCAAAUCCAUUGGCAGCGUCCCCUCGCCCCCCUCACGCGCAGCACGAAUGCGCAUGACGAGGGAGCGGCUCCCGGGAUCGCGACCCACCCCCAAGAUGACCACCGUCUUUGACCUCGGAUCAGGUAGGGAUACCCGCUGAACUUAAGC
rnacentral:misc_RNA from 1 species